rnacentral:rRNA from 1 species
GACGAACGCUGGCGGCGUGCUUAACACAUGCAAGUCGAACGGAAAGGCCCUGCUUUUGUGGGGUGCUCGAGUGGCGAACGGGUGAGUAACACGUGAGUAACCUGCCCUUGACUUUGGGAUAACUUCAGGAAACUGGGGCUAAUACCGGAUAGGAGCUCCUGCUGCAUGGUGGGGGUUGGAAAGUUUCGGCGGUUGGGGAUGGACUCGCGGCUUAUCAGCUUGUUGGUGGGGUAGUGGCUUACCAAGGCUUUGACGGGUAGCCGGCCUGAGAGGGUGACCGGCCACAUUGGGACUGGGAUACGGCCCAGACUCCUACGGGAGGCAGCAGUGGGGAAUAUUGCACAAUGGGCGGAAGCCUGAUGCAGCAACGCCGCGUGCGGGAUGACGGCCUUCGGGUUGUAAACCGCUUUCGCCUGUGACGAAGCGUGAGUGACAGUAAUGGGUAAAGAAGCACCGGCUAACUACGU